UUUAAAGUCGGGCCUGCCCUAUGAAAAUUAAAUGGCUGCAGUAUACUGACUGUACAAAGGUAGCAUAAUCAUUAGUUUUUUAAUUGAAAACUUGUAUGAAGGGUUUGAUGAGAAAAUUACUGUCUCAUUUUUAAUUAAUUAAAAUUUUAUUUUUAAUUUAAAAAGAUUAAAUAUUUUUAGAAAGACGAGAAGACCCUAUAGAGUUUUAUUUUAAAUUUAAAUUAAAUCUUUUAGAUUUAAUUGGUUUAUUUUAAAGUUAAAAUUUUAUUGGGGUGAUAAAAAAAUUUAAUAAACUUUUUAAUUUAAUUAUAUUAAUUUAUGAAUUAAUUGAUCCUUUAAUUAAGACUAAAAGAUUUAAUUACCUUAGGGAUAACAGCGUAAUUUACUUUUAAAGUUCUGAUUGAAAAGUAAGAUUGCGACCUCGAUGUUGGAUUAAAAAAAAAUAUUGGCGUAAGGGCUAAGAUUUUAAGUCUGUUCGACUUUUAAAAUUUUACA
rnacentral:rRNA from 1 species